CUAAUUCCAGUUCCGGAAGAACAUAUAUAAACCCCUCUUGACAUAAAGCUAACAGAAACUUUCAGGCAACCAAGAUGCAUUUUCUAGCGAAUCUCACGCUCAUAUUUCCUUUACUUCUUUAUGUUGAUGGUUGGUGGAUGUGGGGUAAAGAAGAAAACGACGGAUGUUCUAAACGAGAUGGAGCUUAUCCAUAUUAUUUUGGCACGACUGAUCUUGUCUGCGUCAUAAUAGAAAGUAGAAAAAGGGGAAAACGCAGUGCUCCUUCAAGAGGAACUUCGGAUUUGUCCCACCGUUUCAUUGAAUACAGAGGAAACUACUAUGAUUUUCUAUCUAAUUCCAAAGUGGCUAUCUCUAAAACACGAUUAUGGGGAAAUUCAUGUAGCGGGAAAAAGGAAGCCUCCCCAGCUGGAUACAGCGAACUCAGUCCAGAGUGCAUUAAUUGAAGGUUGUGCCAAGAAUUACAAAUGUAACUAUGGAAGUUACAACUUUCUGACCAACAACUGCCACCAUCUCGCUAAUCGGUUGUCUGAAAUCCUGUGUAGAAGAGGUACAACAUGCCCUGACUGGUGCAAGGGCAGCUAUAGGAAUGGGAUAUAUAAUUAGUAAUCUGUGUAUUAAAUGAACAAAACAUUGCUAUGAAAUCAAGAUGGGCACUACCCUUUGGUUUAUUCCAAUGCUUCAUAGAUUAACAGUAAUAAAAUCUGUGUUAUGAAUACGCUUUCAUCUCGUAAACUCUUGCUGUUUAUUGUGCUUGUGAUACAUCUACCACAUUGUAAUUUUCAUCAAACCUUUUCCUUUUCUCUUGAAUAUGAUGCACACGUUAUAAUAAAACCAUUUUGAAAAAGAAAUAGUCAAUUGAUACUUUUCACAGCGUGUUAUUCUAUUUAUCUAUAAAAAUCUAUUGCAACUUUUUAUUUGUUAAAAAGGUUAAAUUUUAAAGCUACAUGUAUUUCUAAUUUUGUUAAAUUUAUACAUUUGAGUGGGCUUGACUACAAAGUAAACCUUCAUUUAAGUUGGAAUAACUGGGAAAAAUACUAGUAUGUACAACACUUAAUAUCAUUUAAUUGGUAUUUAAACCAUUUAAUCUUCCAUCAAAAAUUGAUAUUCAUUAUUAUUGCUAUAAAAUGAUGGUGGUAUUUAUCAGUUUCAGAAUAAACAUUUCAAUAAUUCUUAUUUUGUCCUUUGAUCCUCAUAACUUC